UACGUAGGUGGCAAGCGUUAUCCGGAUUUAUUGGGCGUAAAGAGAGCGUAGGCGGCACUACAAGUCCCAUGUGAAAUACCCGGGCUUAACUUGGGGGUUGCAUGGGAAACUGUAGAGCUUGAGUACAGGAGAGGCAAGCGGAAUUCCUAGUGUAGCGGUGAAAUGCAUAGAUAUUAGGAGGAACACCAGUGGCGAAGGCGGCUUGCUGGACUGAAACUGACGCUGAGGCUCGAAAGCGUGGGGAGCAAACAGG
rnacentral:rRNA from 1 species